GGUUACUGCUAUCGGUGUUCGCCUAAGCCAUGCGAGUCAUAUGUUCGUAAGAACAUGGCGUACUGCUCAGUAACACGUGGAUAACCUGCCCUUGGGUCCGGCAUAACCCCGGGAAACUGGGGAUAAUUCCGGAUAACGCACAUAUGCUGGAAUGCUUUAUGCGUAAAAUGGAUUCGUCUGCCCAAGGAUGGGUCUGCGGCCUAUCAGGUAGUAGUGGGUGUAAUGUACCUACUAGCCUACGACGGGUACGGGUUGUGAGAGCAAGAGCCCGGAGAUGGAUUCUGAGACAUGAAUCCAGGCCCUACGGGGCGCAGCAGGCGCGAAAACUUUACAAUGCGGGAAACCGUGAUAAGGGGACACCGAGUGCCAGCAUCCUAUGCUGGCUGUCCGGGUGUGUAAAAUACACCUGUAGCAAGGGCCGGGCAAGACCGGUGCCAGCCGCCGCGGUAACACCGGCGGCCCGAGUGGUGAUCGUGAUUAUUGGGUCUAAAGGGUCCGUAGCCGGUUUGGUCAGUCCUCCGGGAAAUCUGACAGCUUAACUGUUAGGCUUUCGGAGGAUACUGCCAGACUUGGAACCGGGAGAGGUAAGAGGUACUACAGGGGUAGGAGUGAAAUCUUGUAAUCCCUGUGGGACCACCUGUGGCGAAGGCGUCUUACCAGAACGGGUUCGACGGUGAGGGACGAAAGCUGGGGGCACGAACCGGAUUAGAUACCCGGGUAGUCCCAGCCGUAAACGAUGCUCGCUAGGUGUCAGGCAUGGCGCGACCGUGUCUGGUGCCGCAGGGAAGCCGUGAAGCGAGCCACCUGGGAAGUACGGCCGCAAGGCUGAAACUUUA
rnacentral:rRNA from 1 species